CACGUCUUGAGACAGGCAAAACGAAUGCCCGGAUCAAACUACAAGACAAAUUUGCUCUUUCACGAUUACACUGUCAGAUUACUGCAAUAAAAUCUUGUAUUCCGAUACCACCACAUCCCAUUUUUUACCAUCAUUGGGCUUUAUCCUGUCAACACAAAUGAGACCGGAUACACUCGUUACCGUGGCGACGACAACAAGAGUGGAGCGCGCCGAAGGUAAUAUAAGGAGAAAAUGGGGAAAAAUGUGUUUUGGUGGUCACCGGUGCUCAGGACAGGAGAUGACGUUCGUUUAAGGCUUGGUUGAGCUGCCACCUCUGCAGGAACAGAACAUCUUGUGCUCAGAAGUGACAUUUCAGAGUUUGCCUUGAUGAGACGUAGGAGUGGUCUGCUUGGGCAGAGGAAAACUAAACAGGCUGAUCAGAAAGGGCAGCAAAAUCCCGUAAUGUCCCCUUGCAGAAUGUGCGGGUGAGGAGAAUGUUGGCCAGGCUAUCAUCUGUAAUGGACAACGACUCCCACCCAAUGCAGGACUCCAUCAAAACACAAGGCAUCUCCUUGAGAGACAGGCUCCUUCACUCCAGUCCUGACGCUGACCGUCAGUGUGAGGAACGCCGCCAAUGCUUAAGGCAGGAAAUCGUCUGUUCACACCUUGUCAGUAUGGGCUAUUCUAAAUAAGUGUUUGUGUUGUAUUGCAUAUAUAAACAUGAAUUUAUGUUAAAAUAAAACAAAAAUAAUCAGCAUUUGCCAUUUUCAUUUGUUCUUUCUGGAUAAACGAGGGGUGUACUAUACAGUGUCUAUGGCCGCACUAAAGCUGAAAAGAUGGUUUUACAGAAAAGGAGUCUAGUAGCUGAAAGCCUUUCUACCUAUUUACAGUGGCUUUUCAAUGUCAUGGGAAACAAUAGUAAAGCUGGCCAUACUGUUAAGCCCUGUUUACUUCAAGAAAGAGAAAGUGGCUAACCAGAAAAGAAUAGCAGUUUGUGAAAAUAAAAUGUACUUGUCAUCUUAG